rnacentral:ribozyme from 13 species
AUUUCUUCUUUCUUCUCUUCUUUCUUCUUGUUCUUCUUUUUCUGUUUCAUCUUCGAGGACAACCGAAAUUGCAGCUUGCCCCCAAUGGUUUGCACAAUAACGAACAAGAAAAGUCCCAACUGGUU